AUCACUUCUCAGCCCUUUGGCUAAGAUCAAGUGUAGUGUCUGUUCUUACCAGUUUAAUAUCUGAUACAUCCUUAUCCACCAUCC
rnacentral:snRNA from 1 species